rnacentral:rRNA from 1 species
CUGGCGGCGUGCUUAACACAUGCAAGUCGAACGCGAAGGGACUUCGGUCCUGAGUAAAGUGGCGCACGGGUGAGUAACGCGUAGAUAACCUGUCUUCAUGUCUGGAAUAAUACGCCGAAAGGGGUACUAAUACCGGAUAUUCUUUGCUUUUCAUAAGUUAUGCAAGCAAAGGUGGCCUCUGCAUAUGCUACUGCAUGAAGAGGGGUCUGCGUACCAUUAGCUAGUAGGUGGGGCAAUGGCCUACCUAGGCGACGAUGGUUAGCGGGUCUGAGAGGAUGAUCCGCCACACUGGCACUGGAACACGGGCCAGACUCCUACGGGAGGCAGCAGUGAGGAAUAUUGCGCAAUGGGGGAAACCCUGACGCAGCGACGCCGCGUGAGUGAAGGAAGGCCUUCGGGUCGUAAAGCUCUGUCAAGAGGAAAGAAGUGUACAAUGGCUAAUACCUGUUGUAUUUGACGGUACCUCUAAAGGAAGCACCGGCUAACUCCGUGCCAGCAGCCGC